rnacentral:tRNA from 1 species
UGGGCCGUCGCCAAGCGGUAAGGCACCUGGUUUUGAUCCAGACAUGCGCAGGUUCGAAUCCUGCCGGCCCAGCCA